rnacentral:rRNA from 1 species
GUGAACGCUGGCGGUAGGCCUAACACAUGCAAGUCGAACGGCAGCACAGUAAGAGCUUGCUCUUACGGGUGGCGAGUGGCGGACGGGUGAGGAAUACAUCGGAAUCUACUUUUUCGUGGGGGAUAACGUAGGGAAACUUACUCUAAUACCGCAUACGACCUACGGGUGAAAGCAGGGGAUCUUCGGACCUUGCGCGAUUGAAUGAGCCGAUGUCGGAUUAGCUAGUUGGCGGGGUAAAGGCCCACCAAGGCGACGAUCCGUAGCUGGUCUGAGAGGAUGAUCAGCCACACUGGAACUGAGACACGGUCCAGACUCCUACGGGAGGCAGCAGUGGGGAAUAUUGGACAAUGGGCGCAAGCCUGAUCCAGCCAUACCGCGUGGGUGAAGAAGGCCUUCGGGUUGUAAAGCCCUUUUGUUGGGAAAGAAAAGCAGCAGGUUAAUACCCCGCUGUUCUGACGGUACCCAAAGAAUAAGCACCGGCUAACUUCGUG